rnacentral:rRNA from 1 species
UACGUAGGGGGCUAGCGUUGUCCGGAAUCAUUGGGCGUAAAGAGCGUGUAGGCGGUCCGGUAAGUCCGCUGUGAAAGUCGGGGGCUCAACCCUCGAAUGCCGGUGGAUACUGUCGGGCUAGAGUACGGAAGAGGCGAGUGGAAUUCCUGGUGUAGCGGUGAAAUGCGCAGAUAUCAGGAGGAACACCAGUGGCGAAGGCGGUGCUCUGGGCCGGAACUGACGCUGAGGAGCGAAAGCGUGGGGAGCAAACAGG